CCUACGUGUGGCAGCAGUGGGGAAUAUUGCACAAUGGGGGAAACCCUGAUGCAGCGACGCCGCGUGAGUGAAGAAGGAAUUAGUUAUGUAAAGCUCUAUCAGCAGGGAAGAAAAUGACGGUACCUGAGUAAGAAGCCCCGGCUAACUACGUGCCAGCAGCCGCGGUAAUACGUAGGGGGCAAGCGUUAUCCGGAUUUACUGGGUGUAAAGGGAGCGUAGGCGGCUUUGCAAGUCUGGAGUGAAAGGCGGGGGCUCAACCCCCGGACUGCUCUGGAAACUGUAAGGCUGGAGUGCAGGAGAGGUAGGUGGAAUGCUUGGUGUAGCGGUGAAAUGCGUAGAUAGUAGGAGGAACACCCGUGGCGAAGGCGGCUUACUGGACUAUAACUGACGUUGAGGCACGAAAGCGUGGGGAGCAAACAGGAUUAGAUACCCCAGUAGUC
rnacentral:rRNA from 1 species